GCCUCAUUAAGGAUGACGUGAGUCCACAGAACAAAGCAUACAAGUGGGCAAUCUGCAAAGUGCAUGUUAUUCUACAUUUGCUUUGGCCAGAAGUAAUCUUAAAAAAGCAGAGGAAACCUCAGGCUUGGACACUGAACUUGACCUCAGUGAGGAAAGACCUAGAAGGAAAAUCAAGAAAGCAAAUGUAUUGCUUCCUGGAGAAGAGGCUGGUGAUGAAGGAUCUGACACAGCAAAAACAGAAAUACAAAACCGUGUAACAAGGUGUCCAUCCGUACAACAAUGAUCAUCUGUCCUACCACCUUUCCCUCAGCCUGAGUCCUUUCAUGUACCAGUUGCUGCAUCUUCUCCUUUAUUCUCACAUUUACCUUUUCCUUCCUCAGCAAUUUUUUCUAACGUUCCAUAUGUUUCUUCACCAACUUACUUCCCCCAAUCAGCCCAGCUUGUUUCUACUACACAUUGCGCCUCUAAUAAUGCACCUCUUACACACACUUUAACAGAUAUUUCUAAAUCCUGCUUUACACCUUUCCAACAUGAGUCGUCCGUUACAAAAUCUCUGCAUUCUUCAAAAACCUCUUACACUCAAAGUCCUCCAACUAUCAUUCCUUUCGAUUCUGCUGCAUCUAGUAGAGCUACACACCAUUCUUCCGUUCAAGAAGACUUGCAGCACAUUUCCCAUUAUUCAGCUCCAGCAAGAGAGAAUAGAAAAUGGGCAGCUGUUCUGCAGUGGAUGGCAGACAUAACUGGAAGACUUGAAAAAAUAGAGGAAAGAUUGGAAGCCAAAGCACAAAUACAUGUACCUAUAGCAGAAGAAGAUGACACAUCAAUUUUUAGUCUUCUGGCCCUGAAGUCUUUGGACGACUUUCAAGAUGCUUUGAAAACAAGCAAAUCUCUGAAA